GCGCGCCGCGGCCGCGCGGUGAUGAAUGGGCCGCGCGCGCCCGGCCGCCCCCGCCGCCGCCGCCCUGGUACCGCGGGCGGAGGGCGACACCGCGUGGCCGCGCCAGGAACUGCGGGCCGCGGGCCAUCGUUCAGUGCUCAAAAACUCUCAGUUUAGCACGGAGCCUGGCACACUAUGAGGAAGCUGAGGCACAGUGAAGGGACGUAAACCCACCUGCCGAAGAAGACACACCUGUACGUGAAAGGGCCUCACCUCAAGCAGGGCAGCCGGCUCUGGUGCCCACCUCCACCAUGCCUCCACUCAGGGCUCUUGGAUGGGACAGGCGUGGGCGUGCACCCCGGCUCCAACCUUCUCCAGCAAGUGACCCCAGCAAACCUCUUCCCCUCUCUGGAUCUCCAUUCCUUCCAUUUCUAAGUGGAGCGAAUGAAAUGACCGACCCCGCAGGGUGGUGGCAAAGAAGAGGAAGCAGCCGUGGGAAAGGCACUCAGCAGAUCCUGCCCCACCAGCAGCCAAGCCGAUUUGCUCUUCUCGCUGAAAGUGUCACGGUUUCCUG